CCAAUAGCGUAUAUUAAAGUUGUUGCAGUUAAAAAGCUCGUAGUUGAAUUUCGAGAUCGGUUUAUUGGUCGUGCUAUUGUACGUACUGGUAUUACCGGUUUCUCCUUUCUGACGAACCUUAAUGCCAUUAAUUUGGUGUUUUGGGAAAUCAGGACUGUUACUUUGAAAAAAUUAGAGUGUUUAAAGCAGGCUCACGCUUGAAUACAUUAGCAUGGAAUAACGGAAUAGGACGUUUGAUUCUAUUUUGUUGGUUUCUAGGAUCGACGUAAUGAUUAAUAGGGAUAGUUGGGGGCAUUAGUAUUCAAUUGUCAGAGGUGAAAUUCUUGGAUUUAUUGAAGACUAACUACUGCGAAAGCAUUUGCCAAGGAUGUUUUCAUUAAUCAAGAACGAAAGUUAGGGGAUCGAAGACGAUCAGAUACCGUCGUAGUCUUAACCAUAAACUAUGCCGACUAGGGAUCGGAUGAUGUUAAUUUUUUAAUGACUCAUUCGGCGCCUUACG
rnacentral:rRNA from 1 species